rnacentral:rRNA from 1 species
AUAUAUCGGAACGUGCCCAGUCGUGGGGGAUAACGUAGCGAAAGUUACGCUAAUACCGCAUACGAUCUACGGAUGAAAGCGGGGGAUCGCAAGACCUCGCGCGAUUGGAGCGGCCGAUAUCAGAUUAGGUAGUUGGUGGGGUAAAGGCUCACCAAGCCAACGAUCUGUAGCUGGUCUGAGAGGACGACCAGCCACACUGGGACUGAGACACGGCCCAGACUCCUACGGGAGGCAACAGUGGGGAAUUUUGGACAAUGGACGCAAGUCUGAUCCAGCCAUUCCGCGUGCAGGACGAAGGCCUUCGGGUUGUAAACUGCUUUUGUACGGAACGAAAAAGCCUUGGCUAAUACCCAGGGUCCAUGACGGUACCGUAAGAAUAAGCACCGGCUAACUACGUGCCAGCAGCCGCGGUAAUACGUAGGGUGCGAGCGUUAAUCGGAAUUACUGGGCGUAAAGCGUGCGCAGGCGGUUAUAUAAGACAGAUGUGAAAUCCCCGGGCUCAACCUGGGAACUGCAUUUGUGACUGUAUAGCUAGAGUGCGGCAGAGGGGGAUGGAAUUCCGCGUGUAGCAGUGAAAUGCGUAGAUAUGCGGAGGAACACCGAUGGCGAAGGCAAUCCCCUGGGCCUGCACUGACGCUCAUGCACGAAAGCGUGGGGAGCAAACAGGAUUA